UACGUAGGUGGCAAGCGUUGUCCGGAUUUACUGGGCGUAAAGAGCGCGCAGGCGGUCGGAUCAGUCGAAUGUGAAAGCCCCCGGCUCAACUGGGGAGGGUCAUUCGAUACUGUCCGACUCGAAGGCAGGAGAGGGAAGCAGAAUUCCCGGUGUAGUGGUGAAAUGCGUAGAUAGUCGGAGGAACACCAGUGGCGAAGGCGGCUUUCUGGCCUGUUCUUGACGCUGAGGCGCGAAAAGCUAGGGGGAGCGAACGGGG
rnacentral:rRNA from 1 species